UCAAAUGAUUUGUGUUCUGGCAUCGUGCUUAUUGGCACUGGCGGAAUAGUCACUUGUUGUGCAAUUGUGGUGUUCCUUCAGUGGCAUAAAGUACUGUCAUGAAAGACCAAGAAGCGUCAU
rnacentral:precursor_RNA from 10 species